GGAGAGGUGUCCGAGUGGCUGAAGGAGCACGCUUGGAAAGCGUGUAUAGGGCAAAACUCUAUCGGGGGUUCGAAUCCCCCCCUCUCCG
rnacentral:tRNA from 1 species